rnacentral:rRNA from 1 species
CAGCACCUCAAGUGGUCAGGAUGAUUAUUGAGCCUAAAGCGUCCGUAGCCGGACUAGUAAACCCUUGGGUAAAUUGGGCAGCUUAACUGUCCAAAUUCCGAGGGGACUGCCAGUCUUGGGACCGGGAGAGGUCAGAGGUACUCAAGGGGUAGGGGCUAAAUCCUGUAAUCCUUUGGGGACCACCAGUGGCGAAGGCGUCUGACUAGAACGGAUCCGACGGUAAGGGACGAAACCCUGGGGCGCGAACCGGAUUAGAUACCCGAGUAGUCC